rnacentral:rRNA from 1 species
CGGACGGGUGAGUAACACGUGGAUAACCUACCUAUAAGACUGGGAUAACUUCGGGAAACCGGAGCUAAUACCGGAUAAUAUAUUGAACCGCAUGGUUCAAUAGUGAAAGACGGUUUUGCUGUCACUUAUAGAUGGAUCCGCGCCGCAUUAGCUAGUUGGUAAGGUAACGGCUUACCAAGGCAACGAUGCGUAGCCGACCUGAGAGGGUGAUCGGCCACACUUGAACUGAGACACGGUCCAG